GGCGGCCCGGCGCGCCCGCCCGCGCCGCGGCGGAGCGGAGCGGAGCGGAGCGGAGCGGCACAUUCAUUAUCGGCCGGGGGCCGAUUUCAAACCGCUGCCAUCGCGGCUCCAUUGUUCGCCGGGCGGGCGGCCCC
rnacentral:miRNA from 12 species